rnacentral:lncRNA from 1 species
UGUAAAUUUAUAUUGUAGAAGUUAUGUAAAUUCGUAUUAUAUUGUCAAUGCUUAUCAAAGGAAAUAAGGAUUUAGUAAAACAGAUUUAUGAGUAAAAAGCAUAAUCAAUUGUAUACCAAUUUGAUAAUUGUUGUCUAAGGUAUAUUUUAGAUCAAGGAUUUUGUAAGACUGUUUUAUAAGUAAAAGGUAUAAUCAAUUUUGUACAGUACAACCUUAAUAACAGCCGUACUCAAGUAGGCUACAAGAAAAAAUACUGUGAAUAAGCUGAUGUUGCUGAAAAAAUAUCGAAAGUAAACUGCUACUUUAAUUUAUAAGACUUGUAUGGAUAGUUGACUGAAGAGGGG